rnacentral:rRNA from 1 species
ACGGAGGAUCCAAGCGUUAUCCGGAAUCAUUGGGUUUAAAGGGUCCGUAGGCGGUCUGGUAAGUCAGUGGUGAAAGCCCAUCGCUCAACGGUGGAACGGCCAUUGAUACUGCUGGACUUGAAUUAUUGGGAAGCAACUAGAAUAUGUAGUGUAGCGGUGAAAUGCUUAGAGAUUACAUGGAAUACCAAUUGCGAAGGCAGGUUGCUACAAAUGGAUUGACGCUGAUGGACGAAAGCGUGGGUAGCGAACAGGA